GUUGAGGUGAGUACAUAGCUCAAAGUCAAUAUAAUUUAUACCUGAAAUACUCCAAGGGGUGUGUGUGUGUGUGUGUGUGUGUGUGUGUGUGUGUGUAUGUUUUAAAGGCAAAAACAAGGAAGCAAAUUUAGGAAGAAAAAGAAAGUCUUUCUUAGUCUUUUCUCGUUUUUAGAUUAUCCAUUAUGUCUCAGACCCCAAAUGCUGUGUUCAAAAGAAUCUGAUCCUGGAAUGCUUUGAACAUUUAAACUAUUUUGUUCAUUAAGAACUCCUCUUGUUUUCUGUGAUAUCCUUUCAGUGAUCACAUUUUGACUCUCAUGUUCCUAUUUGUAGAUUGAUAGCUCUUAGUUUCUGGUGACAGUGACCCAGUUAUGACUCAGUUAUAUAUAACAAUCUUUGGCUUGAUUAUUUUGAAGUUACAUAUACUUUGGCACGAAUAAUUAUAUUGACCAGGACCUCAUAUUAAAAUGCUAACCGUGGGAGUCCCCAUCAUGGCGCAGCAGAAACGUAUCCAACUAGGAACCAUGAGGUUGUGGUUUCAAUGUCUGUCCCUGCUCAAUGGGUUGGGGAUCUGGCGUUGCUGUGGCUGUGGGUAGACCAGAGGCUACAGCUCCGAUUGGACCCCUGGCCUGGGAACCUCCAUAUGCUGCAGGUGCGGCCCUAAAAAGACACACACACACACACACACACACACACACACACACACACAAUGCUAACCAUGUAAUAUUUUUUUCCAUAAGUGAAAAAUGGAAGACUCAGUUAACUUGGAGUUUUUUAAAAAAAUAUUUGAAUUCAAUUUCGGAACUUGCUUUCCCUCAGGUUAAGCCACUCUGAUUAUUUAUUUCAAUUCUAUUUGUCCUGAGAAUAGACUUCAUUUUUUUUUUUACUUUGUAUUAUUUGCUAUAUGAGGAUUACUUUCCAAAUGAUAAGGUUGCAGUUAGAAGAUAGAAGAUGCAGUUUUGAAGUUCCAAUACUGAAAACUUUGUUAGACCAUGAUAAAAACACAAGAAACACAUAGCUUCUGAUUGAGAGAAGGUUUCUGCUUAAAGAGUCAAAUCAUACAUAACCUGACCUAGUGACGACCCAUCCGCUCUGGUCCUGGUAAUGCUUUUGGAAAGUUUCAGAAAGUUAGUGCUGAUCCCAUCUCUGUCCACAGCUCAGCACCUGUUUCUUUAGGGCCUGGAAUCCCUAUUAGGAGGAUUAGCUCUUUGCUGACUUUGGGUUUUCUCUGCUCUUGGUGCUAAUUGUAAUAAACAAGAAUAAUAGCUACUGUGUUUGGGGCACUUACUGUAGGCCAGCAGCGCUGAGAAGUGGUUUAUGUGAAUAAUUUCAUUCAACAACUCUAGGAGAAGGGCACUACUGUCGCCAUCACUUUACAUGGGAGGAAAGAACCUCUCAGAGAGGUUGAGUAACUUUCCCAAGGUCUCUCAGCCCAGCAGCAAUCUCACAAGGGGACGCAGACCUUGUUGAACUUUCAGCCCCCACAGGUCACUUCCUUUGGGCAUUUAGGCCCAUGAACACCUUCUCAAAUGGUUUCCCUCGCGGUGCGAGAAUUCCUUUUCUUUCAAUAAUCUACUUAGGUUUAAAAGUUGCCCUCAUUUUCAGCAAGGUCUCCCCUUGGGGUGGGAAAGAGUUAACACAGAAAAUGGAGUGAACACAGAUCACACUCUUUGGUGUAUGUCUUUGAUUAAAAGCAACAACACAGCGCCACCACCAAAUAUCACCCUAAAAACUUCUCUGCGAAGUCUCGAAGUAUCCUCUCUUGAACCUCCCCUGACUUUGUGUCUUUCGCUAAUAGACAAUAUAAUUUAUAAAAGUGUGAGCAACUGUGGAAUUGUUCUCCUAAUAGAUUCUGAGGAUUCCAAUUUCCAUGCCGCCACAGAAGACUGAAAAUCCACUUGUGCUCACUUAUCUGUAUCUGUACCUCAUCCGCACGCUGCAUCAAAAAUCAGGUUCAGGUGCAGGUUAAGAGCACACAUUUACCUCCAGAAUGUGGGACUUAUUAAAUAUCUCUCCACAAUUAACAUCACCAUAUCAAUAAGAAUUAUCAUUAGGUCCUGUCAAUCAGGGGCUGAAUUUUGCUUCAGGGAAACAAAACAAUUUAAAUUAUGGCAAGUGCUCCCCUUCUUUUUUUUUUUUUAACAUGCUUUUCUUUAAAUUGGAUAAUUAUGUGGCUUUUCAUUAGAUUCCUCUAAGCAUAAUAGAUCAUGAUAUUCACCCUUUGACCUCGGUGAUGAAUGUCUCUGGUGAAAACAUGUGACAAGCAGUGUUCUAAUGAGAACAAAAUACGGAAUAACUGGAAAUCUUGUGUAAUAAAAGGAGAAAGUAGGAGGGAACACAACAACCUUUAAGGUUGAGGCACAGAAUGUAAUUGUUUGGGGGAAAUGAUAUGGGCUAUUUUUGGUUCUAAUAAUAUGGAUGGAAAUGUGGAUUUUUCUUCUUUGGUGUGUAAAAAAGAAACAGACAUUUCAAGCAAGCUGCACAUCAGAAAAUACUGGUCUCCACUGAAUUGCAAGCACAGAUGGAGUGAAUCCACUGGCCUAAGGGGGGAUUCACAUGACUUGCUGCGUCUUGGAACACCUGCAGAUGGCUAUCUGAGGGUACCUCUCUUUUUAUUGCUGUCUUUAUGGGAGUUCCAAAUGUAAGGACAGCUUAAGAAGGAAGUGAUUUGGUCUUGAGGGAUCUAUAAUGUUAUAGGAGCUGUCAAGGAAGGACAGGAGGGCAAGGCGACUCACUGUCUCCUCGUCAUUGUCUGGGCCACCUGCCUUGUGGGACCGGGCACCCCGCACACCACUCAAGUUCUCAUUCCCUGAUGGCCAAAGGCACCCUGGGCCUGUGACAGUUGACCCGGAGAUGUAGCCAGAGGUCAAGAACAAGCUGAUGCCCUCUAACCUCUCUUUCUAGCUUCCUUCCCCAGCCCCCUACACACCCAGGGUCCCUUUAUGACUAGUUUUGGAGCUGACCCAGGCACUGCUUUCCCUCUGGUGGAAAAGGAUGGGAGAUUUCCUGUCAGGUGAGCGUGUGACAUUGUGAUGUGUCCGAGGGUCGUGGAAGUGAGUGGAGUUUGCUUUUCUUAGAUUUCCUAGAUCCUUGCCUGUCUGUCUGAUUUUGGUAUAUUCGGCACAAGAGCAGCCCAUUAUAAAGCUGUUUAUCGAAGGUAUGAAUUUGCUUCAACGUCUCAAGACAUGGAGUUUGAAACAGGAGUUAAUGCACAAGCUAGGUUGUGCUUGUUUAGGGGUUGAAGAAAGGGAGACAAAAGCCACCAUUUAUUAGACGCCUACUAUGGGCCAAGGGCAAAGGUCUGGAUAAAUGCUCACUGAUUUAAUUCUCUCAUCAAAUCUUAUCAUCCCAUGAUUUAGGAAAUGGCCCAACCAUGACCCACUAUUGUGGGUCAUAUUAUUACAUAAUAGAAGGACUGGGAUUUGACCAUAGGUUGGUCUGACUCCCAAGUUCAUGUCCUCCAAGUUAAAGGUAGCACAUGACAUAGUGCUGUUAUGUCUUCCAAGAACUGUGCCUUUAUCAUAAAAAUUCUCCCCAACUUACCUUUCCAGAUCUCACACUUGGAAUUGAGUUGGGUUAGCAUGGACUUAAUAUUAUUACUAGUCUUGCUACUUGUGCAAUGUACUUUGCUUAAGAGAAAACAUGCAAGAGGAGAAACAUCUGCCGCAUUAGUUGAUUUCUUCUGCUGAGUUCCAGUUUGGGGUAAGAAUUUGCAUGAGGGACGUGUGUGCUUAUAGAGGAUUAAGAAACUGACCAGGCUCGAAACCAUGGUUGCCUUUGUCUGUCUGCAGAUGGGGGCUGCUGAAGGUGAACUCACCCCGGGCCCCAUUCCUGACCUCCACCAGGUGGGCUUGAGCAGAGACCGCCUCAGGGCCAGCAGUCCUUCACCUCUUUCCACAAGAGCUUGCCAGGAAGAGAACCCUCUGAAGUCCAUUCUGAGCUCUCAGCCUGGGAUUUACCCGCCAUUUGUCACGGACAUCAGGCAAUUA
rnacentral:lncRNA from 1 species